rnacentral:rRNA from 1 species
ACUUCCUGACAUGGUGGAUGUGCCCGAAAGGGAACCUGAACACAGGUGCUGCAUGGCUGUCGUCAGCUCGUGUCGUGAGAUGUUGGGUUAAGUCCCGCAACGAGCGCAACCCUUGUCAUUAAUUGCCAUCAUUCAGUUGGGCACUUUAAUGAGACUGCCGGUGACAAACCGGAGGAAGGUGGGGAUGACGUCAAGUCCUCAUGGCCCUUAUGGGUAGGGCUUCACACGUCAUACAAUGGUCGGUACAGAGGGUCGCCAACCCGCGAGGGGAGCCAAUCCCACAAAGCCGAUCGUAGUCCGGAUCGCAGUCUGCAACUCGACUGCGUGAAGUCGGAAUCGCUAGUAAUCGUGGAUCAGCAUGUCACGGUGAAUACGUUCCCGGGUCUUGUACACACCGCCCGUCACACCAUGGGAGUGGUUCCACCAGAAGUAGGUAGUCUAACCGCAAGGGGGGCGCUUACCACGGUGGGAUUCAUGACUGGGGU